UCUCCGUAGGUGAACCUGCGGAGGGAUCAUUACAGAGUUCAUGCCCUACCGGGUAGAUCUCCCACCCUAUGUUAUUAUUACUUUGUUGCUUCGGCGGGCCGUUAGGCUCCGGCCCGACUACCGGCCCCGGCUGGUAAGCGCCCGCCAGAGGACCCAAAACCCUGAAUAUUAGUGUCGUCUGAGUACUAUAUAAUAGUUAAAACCUUCAACAACGGAUCUCUUGGUUCUG
rnacentral:misc_RNA from 1 species